rnacentral:rRNA from 1 species
GACGGAGGAUGCAAGUGUUAUCCGGAAUCACUGGGCGUAAAGCGUCUGUAGGUCGUUCAAUAAGUCAACUGUUAAAUCUUGAGGCUCAACUUCAAAAUCGCAGUCGAAACUAUUAAACUAGAGUAUAGUAGGGGUAAAGGGAAUUUCCGGUGGAGCGGUGAAAUGCGUAGAGAUCGGAAAGAACACCAACGGCGAAAGCACUCUGCUGGGCCGACACUGACACUGAGAGACGAAAGCUAGGGUAGCAAAUGGG